rnacentral:rRNA from 1 species
GACGAACUGCCCAAACGUUGCUCGGAAUCAUUGGGCGUAAAGCGCACGUAGGCGGCCUCGCAAGUCUGAUGUGAAAUCCCUCGGCUCAACCGAGGACGUGCAUCGGAAACUGCGGGGCUUGAGUACUGAAGAGGAUCGCGGAAUUCCCGGUGUAGAGGUGAAAUUCGUAGAUAUCGGGAGGAACACCAGUGGCGAAGGCGGCGAUCUGGGCAGAUACUGACGCUGAGGUGCGAAAGCGUGGGGAGCAAACAGG